rnacentral:rRNA from 1 species
UCAGGGAGGAAUCAAUGACGUGUACCUGAAGAAUAAGCAUCGGCUAACUCCGUGCCAGCAGCCGCGGUAAGACGGAGGAUGCAAGUGUUAUCCGGAAUCACUGGGCGUAAAGCGUCUGUAGGUGGUCCAAUAAGUCAACUGUUAAAUCUUGAGGCUCAACCUCAAAAUCGCAGUCGAAACUGUUAGACUAGAGUAUAGUAGGGGUAAAGGGAAUUUCCAGUGGAGCGGUGAAAUGCGUAGAUAUUGG